AUUGAACGCUGGCGGCAGGCUUAACACAUGCAAGUCGAGCGCGAGGCGGACGGGUGAGUAAUGUCUGGGAAACUGCCUGCUGGCGGGGGAUAACUACUUGACACGGUAGCUCAUACCGCAUACCCUCUGAUGUACCCCGAUGGGAUUAGCUAGUGGGUGGGGUAAUGGCUCACCCAGGCGACGAUCCCUAGCUGGUCUGAGAGGAUGAACAGCCACACUGGAACUGAGACACGGUCCAGACUCCUACGGGAGGCAGCAGUGGGGAAUAUUGCACAAUGGGCGCAAGCCUGAUGCAGCCAGGCCGCGUGUGUGAAGAAGGCCUUCGGGUUGUAAAGCACUUUCAGCGAGGAGGCGUUACUCGCAGAAGAAGCACCGGCUAACUCCGUGCCAGCAGCCGCGGUAAUAC
rnacentral:rRNA from 1 species